UGGGGAAUAUUGCACAAUGGGGGAAACCCUGAUGCAGCGACGCCGCGUGAGGGAUGACGGCCUUCGGGUUGUAAACCUCUUUCAGUAGGGAAGAAGCGAAAGUGACGGUACCUGCAGAAGAAGCGCCGGCUAACUACGUGCCAGCAGCCGCGGUAAUACGUAGGGCGCAAGCGUUGUCCGGAAUUAUUGGGCGUAAGGAGCUCGUAGGUGGUUUGUCGCGUCUGGUGUGAAAUCUUACCGCUUAACGGUGAGCUUGCAUUGGGUACGGGCAGACUAGAGUGCGGUAGGGGAGACUGGAAUUCCUGGUGUAGCGGUGGAAUGCGCAGAUAUCAGGAGGAACACCGAUGGCGAAGGCAGGUCUCUGGGCCGCAACUGACGCUGAGGAGCGAAAGCAUGGGGAGCGAACAGGAUUAGAUAGCCCUGGUAGUCCAUGCCGUAAACGUUGGGCACUAGGUGUGGGGCU
rnacentral:rRNA from 1 species